AGCGAACGUUAGCGGCGGGCCUAACACAUGCAAGUCGAGCGAGAAAGGGGCUUCGGCCCCGAGUACAGCGGCGGACGGGUGAGUAACACGUAGGUAAUCUGCCUUUCAGUGGGGGACAACGGUCCGAAAGGACCGCUAAUACCGCAUACGUUCUCCGGGACUCCGGUCCUGGAGAGGAAAGCUGGGCAACUGGCGCUGAAAGAGGAGCCUGCGUCGCAUCAGCUAGUUGGUGGGGUAACGGCCUACCAAGGCGAAGACGCGUAGCUGGUCUGAGAGGAUGAUCAGCCACACUGGGACUGAGACACGGCCCAGACUCCUACGGGAGGCAGCAGUGGGGAAUAUUGGACAAUGGGCGAAAGCCUGAUCCAGCCACGCCGCGUGAGUGAUGAAGGCCUUCGGGUCGUAAAGCUCUGUGGGAGGGACGAACGUCCCGGCGUACGAGCCGGGGGUGACGGUACCUCCUUAGCAAGCACCGGCUAACUCGUGCCAGCAGCCGCGGUAAUACGAAGGGUGACG
rnacentral:rRNA from 1 species